rnacentral:antisense_RNA from 1 species
CUUCACCGAGCCCAGCAGCAGCGGCCGUUCGGCGUCGCGGUCCUGGCCGUACGUGGCGAGCAGGGCCUGGGCCUC